rnacentral:tRNA from 1 species
GGGGAUUUGGCUCAGUGGUAGAGUGCUUGCCUAGCAAGCACAAGGCCCUGGGUUCGUUCCCCAGCUCCG